rnacentral:rRNA from 1 species
UACGAAGGGGGCUAGCGUUGCUCGGAAUCACUGGGCGUAAAGGGUGCGUAGGCGGGUCUUAAGUCAGGGGUGAAAUCCUGGAGCUCAACUCCAGAACUGCCUUUGAUACUGAAGAUCUUGAGUUCGGGAGAGGUGAGUGGAACUGCGAGUGUAGAGGUGAAAUUCGUAGAUAUUCGCAAGAACACCAGUGGCGAAGGCGGCCUUCUGGACCAGCACUGACACUCAAGCACGAAAGCGUGGGGAGCAACAGG